rnacentral:rRNA from 1 species
AAACCAACAGGGAUUGCCUUAGUAGCGGCGAGUGAAGCGGCAAAAGCUCAAAUUUGAAAUCUGGCACCUUCGGUGUCCGAGUUGUAAUUUGAAGAUUGUAACCUUGGGGUUGGCUCUUGUCUAUGUUUCUUGGAACAGGACGUCACAGAGGGUGAGAAUCCCGUGCGAUGAGAUGCCCAAUCCUAUGUAAGGUGCUUUCGAAGAGUCGAGUUGUUUGGGAAUGCAGCUCUAAGUGGGUGGUAAAUUCCAUCUAAAGCUAAAUAUUGGCGAGAGACCGAUAGCGAACAAGUACAGUGAUGGAAAGAUGAAAAGAACUUUGAAAAGAGAGUGAAAAAGUACGUGAAAUUGUUGAAAGGGAAGGGUUUGAGAUCAGACUCGAUAUUUUGUGAGCCUUGCCUUCGUGGCGGGGUGACCCGCAGCUUAUCGGGCCAGCAUCGGUUUGGGCGGUAGGAUAAUGGCGUAGGAAUGUGACUUUGCUUCGGUGAAGUGUUAUAGCCUGCGUUGAUGCUG